ACUCCUACGGGAGGCAGCAGUGGGGAAUAUUGCACAAUGGGGCGCAAGCCUGAUGCAGCCAUGCCGCGUGUAUGAAGAAGGCCUUCGGGUUGUAAAGUACUUUCAGCAGUGAGGAAGGUGGGUAUGUUAAUAGCAUAUUCAUUUGACGUUAGCUGCAGAAGAAGCACCGGCUAACUCCGUGCCAGCAGCCGCGGUAAUACGGAGGGUGCGAGCGUUAAUCGGAAUUACUGGGCGUAAAGCGCAUGCAGGUGGUUUGUUAAAGUCAGAUGUGAAAGCCCGGGGCUCAACCUCGGAAUUGCAUUUGAAACUGACAAACGUAGAGUACUGUAGAGGGGGGUAGAAUUUCAGGUGUAGCGGUGAAAUGCGUAGAGAUCUGAAGGAAUACCGGUAGGCGAAGGACGGCCCCCUGGACAGAUACUGAC
rnacentral:rRNA from 1 species